CAGCAAGUGAGAUAUUAGUAUUACUCCCUUUUGCAAAAGAGGAAACUCAGGCUCAGAGAUGAGUCAUGGGACAGGUGAGGCAAGACUGGAAUCUAAACCCAAGGCUAUGGGGUUCAAGGACUAGACCCCUUCCUCUGCUCCUAGGGCCUCACUAAGCCACCUGUGUGGUAGCUGUAAUGCCAUAUGUCUCAGACACGCAGCCUGACCAGGGAAGGCCAUUAGAGUGGGGUGGACGUGGACGGCAGAGAAGAGAGUUAAAGCAGCUCAAGAUAACGGGCUAGAGAGAGUGGGGAGUUCAGGGAGCUGCUGGUUAGAUUAAGGCAGGGAAAGUGGGGAGCACGGAAGAGGUGGGAUCCUGAGUACCCUGCUUUCCUUCCCAGGGUAAUGGGGAGAGGCAUUCCCUACCCCCACUUUCAAGCAAGGGAGGUGCGUCCUCGGCCUGGGGUUUCGAGCAGGUCUCUCUGAGCAGGUCCCUUCCUGGCCAGCCGGGCUGGGGCAGGGGCGGGAUAGGGGUAGGGUGGCGCGGCGGCUGGGCGCAAAGGUCCCGCAGUGGGCCACGCAGGCGCCGGGCUGACGCGGCAAAACUUUGGCGUCUCUGAAAACCUCUGCUCACCCGCUCCUUUCUAGCGUGAGGGAGCCGGGCGGCCUCUUUCCGGCCCGGCAGUGGGACCGUCGCCGCCCGCCCCUCCCGUUGCAGCACCGCUACAGACGCGCUGACCCCGCGGCCGUGUCGCUAGGCGGCAUCCCGGAGCGGGUGGCGAGGUAUCUACCCGGGCGGGUUGAGGGCGGUGCCAGGGUUGGUCAAAGGUCCGCCCCGCCCCCUGCCUGGCCCGGCUUCGGGGUUGGGGAACAGCGCAGAGAGGUGGGUAGCUGGGCUCCCAGGCACGUGGAUCUCUGCGACGGCGGCUGCACGCAGGCACUGGCACCCGGGAGCCGCGGCGACGGCACGCCGGACGGAGAAGCGCAGCGCAGGGGCGAGAGCAUCCCGCACGAGGCUGAGCUGAACUGAGAGAGCAGCAGCAGCCCCCAUCCCCUGUUUCUGGCCCCAGCUUCUCCAGUAAAGGCCUGGCUGCAGGUGAGCUCCAUGUCACUACAAAGAAGGGCAAACCAGAAUAUGGUUAUCAAAGUGGGUGGCACAGUUUGCCAGAACAGUGUGAUCUGGGACACUGCAGGACCUAGAGUGCCCAGGCUAAAGACCUGGAUUUUAUCCUGAAGGCAAUUGGGAGCCGUGGAAAUUUAUGAGCAGAGGAGUUUCAUGGUCAGGUGGCAUUUCAGAAAGAGCUCUCUGGCUGCAGGAUGGAGAAUGGAUCAAGUAGUGCCAAGUGCAGGAAGGUCAGGGCAUUUGUGAUGUCAACAUUAGAACUGUCCCAGGAGUUGUUUAAACCCUAAUUGAGUCCUUGCCCGUUGGCCAAACACUUUUCCCUGAGCCUUCAGAUGCUCCUGCUGAGGAAUUUGGGGACCUGCAAUAGAUCUCAUUCCAGCUCUGCUCCCAGCUUGUUGGAUGACCAGUUCCUGCCCUGCUAGGGUCUAAAAGGAGGCCAGAACAAGUAAGAUCCUGCAUGGCAGAGUAUAUGUGUUGGGAGGCCCUGGCACAAAAGGUUUGUCACUCUUUCUCCUUUUCUCCCUGUCUGGGGCUUUCUUGGAGUCUGGUCAGAGGAGUUGGGUAUCCCAGUGGGUAACCCUCAGAAAUGACUACCAAACUUGGGCUGUGUCGUGAGGCUGUGGCUCCUCUGUUUCUGUCUCCCUCCCGCCCUGGAUGCAUAAGGCUCUAAGAAGGUGUGAGGGUAUCACCAGGGCCUCAUGAGUGACCUUAUGAGAGCUUUGACUUAAUGGCUAUAGUCUUUAGAGAGGCCAUUGUCCCUCUCUAGGUGUCAGUUCUGCCAUCUGUAAAUUGAGAAUGGUGAUCCUUGCUUCUUUGAGGGCAAAGUUGCUACAAGGAUUAAGAUAGUGAUCAGGGAAAAGCUUUAUAAGCCUUAAACUGCAGUGCUUGGAGAAGGAAUGUGAUGCUC
rnacentral:lncRNA from 1 species